rnacentral:rRNA from 1 species
UACGUAGGUGGCAAGCGUUGUCCGGAUUUAUUGGGUUUAAAGGGUGCGUAGGCGGCUUUGUAAGUCAGUGGUGAAAUAUGGCAGCUCAACUGUCAAGGUGCCAUUGAUACUGCGGAGCUUGAGUACAGAUGAGGUAGGCGGAAUUGACGGUGUAGCGGUGAAAUGCGUAGAUAUCAGGAGGAAUCCCGGUGGUGUAGACGGCUCUCUGGACCGCCACUGACGCUGAGACACGAAAGCGUGGGUAGCAAACAGG